UACGUAGGGGGCAAGCGUUGUCCGGAUUUACUGGGCGUAAAGAGCGCGUAGGCGGACGUUUAAGUGUGGCCUGAAAGCCCCCGGCUCAACCGGGGAUCCGGGUUGCAAACUGGACGUCUUGAGGGGGAUAGGGGAAGGUGGAAUUCCUGGUGUAGCGGUGAAAUGCGUAGAGAUCAGGAGGAACACCGGUGGCGAAGGCGGGUCUCUGGGCCGAUACUGACGCUGAGGAGCGAAAGCGUGGGGAGCGAACAGG
rnacentral:rRNA from 1 species